GACAUAGGUGGCAAGCGUUACUCGGAAUUACUAGGCGUAAAGCGCGUGUAGGCGGAUGCUUAAGUCUGUUGUUUAAUCUCCCGGCUCAACCGGGAAAGGUCAGCGGAUACUGGGCAUCUGGAGUGGGACAGAGGAAGCUGGAAUUCCCGGUGUAGCGGUGAAAUGCGUAGAUAUCGGGAAGAACACCGGCGGCGAAGGCGGGCUUCUGGGUCCUUACUGACGCUGAGACGCGAAAGCUAGGGGAGCAAACAGGAUUAGAUACCCUGGUAGUCCUAGCCGUAAACGAUGGAAACUAGGUGUGGGAGGUAUCGACCCCUUCCGUGCCGACGCUAACGCAUUAAGUUUCCCGCCUGGGGAGUACGGCCGCAAGGUUAAA
rnacentral:rRNA from 1 species